GACGUAGGGCGCGAGCGUUGUCCGGAUUUAUUGGGCGUAAAGAGCUCGUAGGCGGUCUGUUGCGUCCGCUGUGAAAACUCGGGGCUUAACCCCGAGCCUGCAGUGGAUACGGGCAGACUAGAGGUAGGUAGGGGAGAAUGGAAUUCCCGGUGUAGCGGUGAAAUGCGCAGAUAUCGGGAGGAACACCGGUGGCGAAGGCGGAUCGUCUGGGCCUUACCUGACGCUCAGGCGCGAAAGCU
rnacentral:rRNA from 1 species